GCAUGGCUGCUUGUAAACCAGAGUGCUGCUGUGGCUGUGCCCACGUGGGCUCCUCUGGGGGAGGGGAGGGGAGCUGUGCUUCUGCUUUUUUUGUUUCUUUUUGAGGAGGUAGCUGCAGAAAACAGACAGCAGUUCAAAGCCACGAGCGGCACGGUGCUGUUGGGGAUAGCUGGGGGCACGUGGGGACUGGAUUUACGUAGCCAGAACUUGACAGGUGCCUCCAUUUCUCAAAGCAAUGCGGAUUGCACUCUUCACUGCUUGGUGCAGUCUUGUGAGCUGUGAGGUGGAUUUCGUACCUUCUCUGAAGCAUCAGGCUGCUGCUGGAGGCAGGAUGCUGGUCGUGGUGAACUCUUGCUCCAAAAAGGAAAUGAAUUGCAGAAGUAAACAUGAACCAAACAAGAUUUCCCUCUUACCGUGUGUGAGCAGGAGGAAGCGCCAGACACAGGCACUUGUAUCCCAAAGGCUGCAAUAAAGCAACAUUGUGACACAAUAAACAAAUACCGUGA